GAAAUGCGAUAAGUAAUGUGAAUUGCAGAAUUCAUUGAAUCAUCGAAUCUUUGAACGCACAUUGCGCCCGCCAGUAUUCUGGCGGGCAUGCCUGUUCGAGCGUCAUUUCAACCAUCAAGCCCCCGGCUUGUGUUGGGGACCUGCGGCUGCCCGCAGGCCCUGAAAACCAGUGGCGGGCUCGCUGUCACACCGAGCGUAGUAGCAUACAUCUCGCUCAGGGCGUGCUGCGGGUUCCGGCCGUUAAAAGCCUUUUUUACCCAAGGUUGACCUCGGAUCAGGUAGGAAGACCCGCUGAACUUAAGC
rnacentral:misc_RNA from 1 species